GCGCUCCGUGCACGGAGUGAACAUUUUGCCACGUUUCGCAUAUAUUUUACCCUUUUUAUGUAUAGGGCCUUCGUAUAUUUUCAUGCAAGCAGUUCCCUGUUUAACCACGUUCUAUGCUUGUAUGAUCAGGUACCGUUUCUGACACUAUGAUAUGCCACCCCCAACGAAUUUGACUUCUUCCUUUGUAGUCAUGCCGGGAUUCAAGUAAAUUUGAUUUCCAUUGAGUAUUGUUUAGAUACGUAGGAUAUUUUGCUUUAUAAUUCUAAUCGAUUUUUGCAUUUCCAAUCAGGGAACUAGCCGUCCAACGCGCUACCAUGUGCUAUAUGAUGAGAACAGAUUUAAUGCAGAUGCUUUACAAAUGCUAACCAAUAGCUUGUGUUAUACGCAUGCCAGUCCACUUUUGGCGUUGUUAUACUCAAAAGAUUGCAGGAUAUGACUUGAUCACUGAAAUUUGCAAAGUUGUAUCACUAAGUCUGACUUGAGAGGGGAAAAGAUCCCAAGGGAACUGCAAAUAGUAUAAGAUGCAUAACCUUCCCAAGAGAUGAUCUCCUUAUGAAAAAAUAGAACCCAUCUUGGAUGCAAUAUAUGUAAUUGUUUAUAACUUAAAUUUAUAUCAAAAUUCUAAUCACACCAAAUAGAGGCUUACUUUAAAAGCCAACUUUCCAAGAAAACUGCUUGUCUAGAAUGCUGAGAAUCUUCUUUAUUUAUCAACAUCACUUGUUUAAUGAACACUGCUACAUGUACACUAUGGUGUACACUUUAGUUUA